UUUAAAAACUCUGUUGCUACUGGUGGAAGAGGGAAGAUCAGAGACAUCUGACAACUUGUCUGAGAUCAUGUCAAAUUUGGCAGGGAAGAGCCUAGAACCCAGAGUUACUGAUUUACAAGGUUUAGCAGGGUAAAAUGGAUGGAAGAAAGAGGAGACUAGCAGAGACAAAUUAACAUGAAGCCACUAGAACGAUUUAAAGGUGAGUCUGAAAGAAGAGGCAGCAAUAAGUCUGGGAAGGAGGUCAUGGGUCUAAGACAUGUCCUCUAAGACAGAGGACAAGAAAAACACUGAGUGAAGGGGAUAAGGAAAGUUGUUCCCAGGAGCAUCCCCUUCCCGGG
rnacentral:lncRNA from 10 species